CUUCUCCUUUUUCUCUUUUUCUGCGUUUUACUAUCAAACGAGUAAAAAUCCCAUUAAUGGAUUUGUCCUGUUGCUAAUUUGAAAACUCGAACCUCAUUGGCUGUUGGGAUUUAGGCGGGAUUCAAGAUGAAUCCUUUGAGAUUUUCACUUGUCCCACAUCGAAUUAGGGUUUGAUGUUUCUCAGAUUUGGGUUCUAUAAAUAGAACCCCAUAUCUCACUAUUUGAUAGCUCGCAAUAUCGAAAUACUCGAAGAUAGACUCGGUAUACCUAGGGAUCUAGCAAUCUUUGUUUGGAACCUUUAACUUACCGAGUUUUAAGUUUAAAAGUUUUCAUUCCUUUCUUGUCUUUGUGGCUGAGCACCGGAGGUGGAGGCAAAAGGCUUUCCCAGUCCAUUUUCGACCAAGGCUACGCAAAGAAGAGGUAAAUAUUCCCCUUUUAUUUAUUUUUUGCAUUAUUGUGUUUAAUAUGUGUGUUAGCUAGUUUUAGGUGUCUAUUUCAGUAUUGUGUUUAGUAUAUGCUUGUUGAUAUUUGUGUCUAGUUAAUUUAGUUUGAUUUGAAUUUUAGUUUAGUUUUCAGUAUGAUUUAGUCUAGUUAAUCUCCUAUAGUAUAAAUCAAUUUAAGUAGCCUUAUAGACUAAUCUGUGCAUGUGUAAAUAUAGCUUAUUAUUACAAAGCAUAUCUAAGUUUUUAUCCAUUCUUAUGAAGUCUUGGCUGAUUUAAAUAUGGCCUGAAUCUUAUUUGCUAUGCUCACAUUGACUCACCUAUGCGAUUAGAAGGGUACCUAUACUUGUUUAGACCAUAUUUGUGCAUAUAAUCACAUGUAAAAGACUUGUUAACCCAUCUUUGUAUUUAGCAUAUGUUCACUGUUGGAUUUGGGAUUGAUAUUGGCCUGCUUAAAACUAGAAUGUUUAUUUGGAUAUGAAUUCUUGUUGUUGUAAGUCUACCUAGAUCAAUCAUGCCUAUUCAGUAUUUGCCUUUGGAUGAUUUCAACCUAAUCUGUUUCGAUACAGGUCCUUAUGCUUAUUCAUUUUUGUUUCAACCAUAUGAUGACUUAUGUACUCUUUGUUAGUUUUUGCAUUCUAUGAUUAAGUAUGUUUGGACUGAUAUGGACCAUCUACAUUAGAAUAGUUGUCGGAAUGAGCAUGUAUGUCUUGUUUUGAGGUCUUUGAGUAUGUUGUUCAUUUCCAAAGAGAAUUUAGUUAAACAUAUAGGCGCUUUAACUCUUUGUUAAGGACACUGACUUCAUAUCUGGUGGAUGGUUUACUAGUCCCUUAGGGGGCUGUUAGUCAAGCUUAAUUUUUGUAUCAACUGAGUAUAUGCUAAGUCAAUCCUUUUGUGUUAUUUGUAUACUUAUUGGUCUUAUCUAGUUCCUGCAGUGUCUGACUCUACAUAUAGGGAUAUUUUGAUGGUUCACUAUUGUGGUUGGAGGUUUUCAUACUUAAUCAUGCUUUGAUUCAUGUGGUUAUGGAUCCGCUUAAUUCAUCUGAGCCUAUUAUGUACCGAUCUUAACUGAUUCCUGCCAGAUAUAAGUUGAAAUUUCAUGCUUUGGUACUUGUUUAGCCCAUUCCACUAUCACAUAUUCAUUUCAAAUGAUUUAGCACUGGAGUAACUCUGAUAUGAUUUUAAAAAAUGCCUUUUAGCUUUUGUGCCCAACCAGUUGAUUGAUUACAUGUCUAUUUGGCUUUCCUUGUUCUUGAAUGUGCAUACAUGCUGUUAGGAGGUAGUAAGGAUGUUAUAUAUGCUUGAAAGUUAUAUUUGUCUUCAAGAUCUUUUAUUAUCUGUCUGUAUACCCUAUUGGGAUGUCUACCUUGACUGUGCAUGUCCUUUACUCAUUCUUGAUUGAGGUGCACUUUGGUUUGAGUUAUCUAUAAAAUAUGCGAAUGUUUGGUUUUGUUUGAGACAACAUGUGCACCUUCUGAGUUAUAAAAUUUGGUUUGGUUGCUUCUAGGAAUAGCCUCUGAAUCUUUUUCUUUUUUUUUAAAUUUAUUUACCUUCCUUUUUUCUUACCUUGUUCUAUGUUGAUAUUCAUAAAAUAUACCUGAAGUAUACAGAAUAUACAUGACAUGUAGGCAUUCUAGUGUAUAUAAAAGGGACAUAUUUGGUAUAAUGAAUAAUACUUUGCAUAUUUUUGUGAUAAGGUUUUGGGGCCUGACUUCUUGCAGAUCUGGACCUGCUCUUUUAUUUGUUUCAUCCUUAAUAUUUACUGAAUUAUGUUUAUACUUAUGUAUACAAGAAAUAUGCAAAGUAUAUGCAGCCUAUAUACAUCUUGGUGUAUAUGGGAGAAGUAUACUUUGUAUACUACUAAAAUAGACUCCAUAAUUAUACUUGGCCCACCUUACAAAUGCUAUUUUGGGCUUGUUCUCUUCCUUGGUUGUUGUGAUAUUAAGAAUUGGGCCUGUUUUACACCCUUGCUGAUUCAGUGAUUAUUUGAGAUUAGGCUUUGUACCUUUAUGUGUUAGCUUACUUCGUUCUGAGCCUAUGUAUUUUUUACUGCUUGUUUAUACAUAAUCUAUGCAUAUAUGACUAUAUUACGUGCAUACCCUUUAAGUUUCAUUUAAAUUAGUGAUUGAGUCUAGGUGCUUUCUAACCGAGUUUUUUCCCCCCACCUCCCUCCUCUUUUGCAUGAUUCGACUUCAUCGAGCCGCUUGGGCCAUUCCUCGUGAAACCAGUCGGCCCAACAACUUUUCUUUUAAUCGAUUCCUGAGGAGAUAAAGGCAUAGAAGGCCCAACCAUGGGUGAAAAUGGCAAUUAGUGGGCUUAGAGUAUUAGGUCGGAUCUACUUCUCUGACUCGUGGCUGAUCGACUCUACAGCUUCCACUUGAGUUUUCCAGGGUGAGCAUGGUGUCCGCUAACCUCGAAGAUUCUUCUGUUACUUAUGUCUUGUUUUACAUUUAGAGACAUGAUUUGAGACUACUUAUGUAUUAUUAUUCAGACUUUUAGUAUUCGGAUUUAGAUGCUCUUGUAUGACCAGACCA